GAUGAACGCUAGCGGCAGGCUUAACACAUGCAAGUCGAGGGGCAGCAUAAAACAUUGCUUGCAAUGUUUGGUGGCGACCGGCGCACGGGUGCGUAACGCGUAUGCAACCUACCUAUAACAGGGGGAUAACACUGAGAAAUUGGUACUAAUACCCCGUAACAUCAGAAGAGGCAUCUUUUUUGGUUGAAAGUUCCGGCGGUUAUAGAUGGGCAUGCGUUGUAUUAGCUAGUUGGUGAGGUAACGGCUCACCAAGGCGACGAUACAUAGGGGGACUGAGAGGUUAACCCCCCACAUUGGUACUGAGACACGGACCAA
rnacentral:rRNA from 1 species